CCGGCACGGGGCGUUCGGCGAAGGCGCGGCGGUCGGUGCGCCGGCGCGGGAUCGCCGCCGCCAUGCGUUCGCCGUCCGGGUCGGCGGUGUCCGU
rnacentral:tRNA from 1 species